UUGCGGGGUAGAGCAGCCUGGUAGCUCGCAAGGCUCAUAACCUUGAGGCCGCUGGUUCGAAUCCAGCCCCCGCUAA
rnacentral:tRNA from 1 species